GCACAUUCAGAGGGCAGGACCUGGUGCCCAAGCCUGUAGGACUGAGCUGGCAGCAGGCACCCAGCUAGCUCAGAGCUCUGCUACAGGAUUGGCAAGUAAACAUGACAGCUGUUUCCUUCUAAGGGUCUUAGAGCAGCAGAAGGCUUAUGCAGCUCUUGGGCAGAAACCUGGAGAAGCCUGGACAAGACAGACUGAAAUCCAAGAUUUUGAAACUGAAACCUCAAGUCUUCUGAGGUCUUGGGCUUGCUGCCUUCCAACUAGAACUUACACCAUCAGCCUUCCUGGGUCUCCAGCCUUCACACUUAAACUGGACUUACACCAUUGACUCUCCUGGAUCUGUACGUUGCCACCUGCAGAUAUGGUGACCUCUCAGCCUGGGUUAUUAUCAAAAGAGAAUCAAGGCAGCAGAUGGAAUUAUCGUCACUAAUCAGCUGGCUUGGAGAUAUGGAGAUGGUUAUGGAUUAUUCAGGAUCAAUUUUCGUAGAAGCUCUAUUUAUAAGCACAAGAAAUUGGAAACAAGCCAAAUGUCUUUCAGCUGAUGAAUGGACAAACCAAUUGUGGCAUAUCCAUACAAUGGAGUACAAUGCAGCAUCAAAAAGAAACACACCGUAGACACCUGCAACAACUUGGAUUAAUCUCAGAGGGAUUAUGGUGCUGGCCAUGCAGGGACUUGGUCUCUGAAUGAGAUGAAGAGCCAUUAGCCUAUGAGCAGAGGAGCAGCAUAACAGGACUUCCGUUUUCAAGACACCUCUUUGGCUGUGAUGUUAGGAAUGAGGUAGAAACAGGGAGACCAGUUAGAAGGUUGUCACCAUAAUCAAGGUACCAGCAUGGGAGGGGUGAAAAGCAAUCAGCCUCCGGAUAUACUUUAAAGAGAGAAGAAACGGAAGAAUCAUCCAUGGAGUUAAGGUGAAAGCAGCACAAAUAGAGGAAAGUUUUAAAAAAAUUGUUCACUAGGGAGGUAUUUCCUGAAUAGAACUUCCUAACUGCAGCUACAGACCAUGUUAAAAGUGAUUGAUUUGCCUUAGCUACUGGCACAAAAUAUGGAGAGCAUUUCAAAAAGGUUCUUUAUAGUAAAACUUUGUUUUUCCUCUAUGACUUAUAAUAGUGAUUUAUUGAGAAAAUUCACCGUUUUCCAAUGAUAGAUGCAGUCCAAUCUUCCAGUUUAUAACAUUUUCUGAGUAACUUUAUCAAAUCAAGGAGUCUUUCUUCAUCAAAAUGAAAUCACAGAUAUACAUUAAAUAUGUGUUUAAGCUGGAAAGGAAAGAAAAUCAAAAUGAUUCUCUUAUUUCCCUGUUGAAAAGGCUUUUGUAAUCAGUACAAGUCUUUGAAUGGCGGUUCCUUUAAUCAUUUGGUUGGUAUAAAACCAUAAGUGACAUGCCCUCGAAAUCAUGAAAAGAAGCCAGGAAGUCAAUAUUAAGUUCACUGUAAGAAUAUGAUGAAUUUGCACUAUUGUCUGGUCUCAUUAUAUUCUUUGUCACAAAAAUGAGUUAUCACAGAAUUAUAAUGUCUAGUGUGUUCUUCUUUAUAAUACAUUCUUAUGCACAUGACAAGAAUUACGACAAGAGGAGAAAAUGGACAAAAUUAAUCCACCCUCAUGACAGAAAAUACUGCUUCAAAUUAACUUGUGACAGGCAAGUAUUUUGGGGAAGGCAUUUAUUGAUGGCAUCUGUCUUAUCAGUCUACCUACAUCAGUUCUUUAUGUGCCUCAUCAAGGAUCUAUCACAAGUAGAACCCUGGGAAAAACAUCUUCUGAAGAUAGUUAGAUGUAAAAGAGAGAAACAAGGGUCAUAUUGUACAUGAUCUUUGGAGGAAAUCCUUAACUAAAUCAAUAACUUGGAUUUUACAGCACUACUUUUGAACAAAUUCCAGC
rnacentral:lncRNA from 10 species